AUGAACGCUAGCUACAGGCUUAACACAUGCAAGUCGAGGGGCAGCAUGGUCUUAGCUUGCUAAGGCCGAUGGCGACCGGCGCACGGGUGAGUAACACGUAUCCAACCUGCCGUCUACUCUUGGACAGCCUUCUGAAAGGAAGAUUAAUACAAGAUGGCAUCAUGAGUCCACAUGUUCACAUGAUUAAAGGUAUUCCGGUAGACGAUGGGGAUGCGUUCCAUUAGAUAGUAGGCGGGGUAACGGCCCACCUAGUCUUCGAUGGAUAGGGGUUCUGAGAGGAAGGUCCCCCACAUUGGAACUGAGACACGGUCCAAACUCCUACGGGAGGCAGCAGUGAGGAAUAUUGGUCAAUGGGCGAGAGCCUGAACCAGCCAAGUAGCGUGAAGGAUGACUGCCCUAUGGGUUGUAAACUUCUUUUAUAAAGGAAUAAAGUCGGGUAUGCAUACCCGUUUGCAUGUACUUUAUGAAUAAGGAUCGGCUAACUCCGUGCCAGCAGCCGCGGUAAUACGGAGGAUCCGAGCGUUAUCCGGAUUUAUUGGGUUUAAAGGGAGCGUAGAUGGAUGUUUAAGUCAGUUGUGAAAGUUUGCGGCUCAACCGUAAAAUUGCAGUUGAUACUGGAUAUCUUGAGUGCAGUUGAGGCAGGCGGAAUUCGUGGUGUAGCGGUGAAAUGCUUAGAUAUCACGAAGAACUCCGAUUGCGAAGGCAGCCUGCUAAGCUGCAACUGACAUUGAGGCUCGAAAGUGUGGGUAUCAAACAGGAUUAGAUACCCUGGUAGUCCACACCGUAAACGAUGGAUACUAGGUGUAGGGGAUAUUAAGUCUUCUGUGCCGUCGCAAACGCAGUAAGUAUCCCACCUGGGGAGUACGGCCGCAAGGUUGAAACUCAAAGGAAUUGACGGGGGCCCGCACAAGCAGUGGAGUAUGUGGUUUAAUUCGAAGCAACGCGAAGAACCUUACCAAGGCUUGACAUAUACAGGAAUAUUUAAGAGAUUAAAUAGCUCUUCGGAGUCUGUAUACAGGUGGUGCAUGGUUGUCGUCAGCUCGUGCCGUGAGGUGUCGGCUUAAGUGCCAUAACGAGCGCAACCCUUGUUGUCAGUUACUAACAGGUUUCGCUGAGGACUCUGACAAGACUGCCAUCGUAAGAUGUGAGGAAGGUGGGGAUGACGUCAAAUCAGCACGGCCCUUACGUCCGGGGCUACACACGUGUUACAAUGGGGGGUACAGAGGGCCGCUACCACGCGAGUGGAUGCCAAUCCCAAAAACCUCUCUCAGUUCGGACUGGAGUCUGCAACCCGACUCCACGAAGCUGGAUUCGCUAGUAAUCGCGCAUCAGCCACGGCGCGGUGAAUACGUUCCCGGGCCUUGUACACACCGCCCGUCACACCAUGAGAGUUGGGGAUACCCGAAGCCUGUGAGCCAACAGUUAAAUGAGGCAGCAGUCGAAGGUAGAAUCAAUGAUUGGGGUG
rnacentral:rRNA from 1 species